GACGAACGCUGGCGGCGUGCUUAACACAUGCAAGUCGAACGAUGAAGAAGAGAAACGCGAACUUCGGUUCAAAUUUCACUUCGGAUUAGUGGCAGACGGGUGAGUAACGCGUGAGCAACCUACCUCUUACAAAGGGAUAGCCUCGGGAAACCGUGAUUAAUACCAUAUGACACAUUCAUAAGGCAUCUUAAGAAUGUUAAAGCUACGGCGGUAAGAGAUGGGCUCGCGUGCCAUUAGCUAGUUGGUGAGGUAACGGCCCACCAAGGCGACGAUGGGUAACCGGCCUGAGAGGGUGAACGGUCACAUUGGAACUGAGACACGGUCCAAACUCCUACGGGAGGCAGCAGUGGGGAAUAUUGAACAAUGGAGGGAACUCUGAUGCAGCGACGCCGCGUGAGCGAUGAAGGAAUUCGUUUCGUAAAGCUCUGUUCUAUGGGAAGAAAAGGACUGUACCAUAGGAGAAAGCCCCGGCUAAAUACGUG
rnacentral:rRNA from 1 species